rnacentral:lncRNA from 10 species
AGGGAAGGGGCCCGGCGCCGAGCGCGAGGUGCGUUUGGAAAAGGGCCUUCCUGUGAGCUCUGGCAAGGGGAAGCCUCUUGCUGGGUCACUCCGGGGGCGUUCCAGGCAGGUGAGGGGACCGUCGGAGAAGUUCCCCGGAGGAGACCCCGCCCCCAAGGCCUGAGUGCAGCUCUGUGCUAAGCCAACAACAACGACGAGCUCUGAGCUCUUCACCCUGACCUAUGGUGCCCUGGUCACCCAGCUAUGUAAGGACUAUGAAAAUGAUGAAGAUGUGAAUAAACAGCUGGACAAAAUGGGCUUUAACAUUGGAGUCCGGCUGAUUGAAGAUUUCUUGGCUCGGUCAAAUGUUGGGAGGUGCCAUGACUUUCGGGAAACUGCGGAUGUCAUUGCCAAGGUCAUUAUUCUGGGCCACCUGUCCAUGCUGAAGAAUUGCUGCUGAGAGGCACUGCUUACCACUCUUUCUAUCUCCCUUAGAGAGGCCUUUAAUCUCCCAAAAGACUGGCUAGGCAGCUCUUUGGGUCAAAAAAACAUUCCAGGUCGUUAGGGAAUAGCAUAGAUUAUUUAAUCCCUGUGGAUUAAAGCCCCACUGAAAUCAAAGCCUGAGCUUUUCCACUGUGAAGGUGUAGCAGAGUAGCAUGGGGGUAAAGAAUACAGACUCGGUCGGGCGUGGUGGCUCACAUCUGUAAUCCUAGCACUUUGGGAGGCCCAGGCGGGU